UCGUCAGCUCGUGCCGUGAGGUGUCAGGUUAAGUCGUACAACGAGCGCAACCCUUGUCAUUAGUUACCAGCAUGUAGAGGUGGGGACUCUAAUGAUACUGCCGGAGUAAGCCGCGAGGAAGGGGGGGACGACGUCAAAUCAGCACGGCCGUUACGUCCGGGGCUACACACGUGUUACAAUGGGGGGUACAGAGGGCAGUUACCUGGUGACAGGAUAAGAAUCUUUAAAGGUGGUCUUAGUAUGGAUUGGAGUCUGCAACUCGACUCCAUGAAGUUGGAUUCGCUAGUAAUCGCAGAUCAGCCAUGCUGCGGUGAAUUCGUUCCCGGGCCUUGUACACCCCCCCCGUCAAGCCAUGGGAGUUGGUGGUACCUAAAGAGCGUAACCGCGAGGAGCGUUUAAGGGUAAUGCUAAUAACUGGGGCUAAGUGGAACCAAGGUACCGUA
rnacentral:rRNA from 1 species